rnacentral:misc_RNA from 1 species
GGCUAAUGCAUUAGUAAACCUUAGUCCUUCAAGAUUCAGUUUUAGAAGGGGUGCAAUUUUAACAGCAUUGCUAGGGGUUGUUUGUCAGCCUUGGAGAUUGUUGAAAUCAAGUGAGAGUUUUGUGUACACAUGGUUAGUUGGAUAUUCUGCAUUGUUGGGGCCAAUUAUGGGGAUAAUUUUGGUUGAUUAUUACUUGAUUCAGAAGAUGAAUUUGAGUAUUAAAGAUUUGUAUACAUUGAGUUCAAAGGGUGCAUAUUAUUACUCAAGUGGAUAUAAUU